CAGAGCCUUACCUGAAAGUCAUACAAAGCCACGAUGUUUUCAUGUUUCAAUUCCUAGGACAGAAACCCAAGUUUCUUAUGAUCAAGGCAGGCUCACCCCAGCACCCUCUCCCCCUACCACUCCAACACCCGCUCACCUUGAGAAUUUUGAUUUCCUUCCCCAACAGUGUCUGGGACUUGGCCAGAUUCUUCUUGUUGAUGCACUUGACUGCGACCUCCAGGUCGUGCUUCUGAAAACCAAGCGUGAACAUUCCUCAGGGGCCAGAAAUCCCGGAACCAUAGAAGGCCACCCCCAGGCCAGGUAAGUGCCUGGGGGGGUUCCGAUGCCGGAAGAGAGCCCCAGGUGUGGAAUCGGAACGAAGUGUCCGGGAGAUGUAAAGACAAGAAAAUUGAGGCCCAGGGAAAUUAGAUGACGUGUCCAAAGUCACUAAGCAAGCAGAGCAAAGAGCCAGAUUCUCACACAGGAAAUUGUUAACAGUGGCUGCUUCAGGAAGACUCAAAGUGAAGAGGGAGCAUAAGGCAGACAGAAAACGACCUGCCCUUGACAACAGCCAGCCCUCCGGUUACCUGUGAAUCUUCUUUAGCGUAUGGAAAUCCCUUUAAGAAACUUCCCCUUGACUUUACCUCCCCCAGCUUCAUAGUGUGUCACCCCUCACAAGCCCAGGGCAGCUCUUUCUGACCUUGGGUCCUGU